rnacentral:misc_RNA from 1 species
GUUUUAGUUGUACAUUAUGCACAAAUAGACAUUCCGUUACAUUCAAGAGUGUGUAAAAGUUACUCGAGUACCAGGCCCGGUAAGGAGCCACGCAAAGCGGUACUCAGAGUCAUAAGGUGCACAGGUGUGUGGAUUUGCGACUCGAUCGACGUGCACAUGUGUCUCCACCAGCACAGACGAACGAGCCGACUUUGAAGUUUCAUUAAUGAUCCUUCCGCAGGUUCACCUACGGAAA